UUUCUUCUGUACAAUCAUGAUGUUACUGUGUUUUUUGCUCCUGCUGUCAGUAAUACAGGCAGUGCAAACAUGAUUUCUUAUUCUUAUCUACUUGUGCUAUUAACCUUUCUCGAUAAAUCUUUUGGACAGUCAAUCACACCAUUGCAGAAUGAAACACAUGCCACUGAGGGAGACACAGUCAUUCUCUCAUGCAAAUAUGAUACCCAAGUAACCAAUUUACAGUGGUAUCGACAAUAUCAUGGAUCCAGACCUGAAUAUCUGCUUCUUGUUUAUGAGUCAAACAGUGUAUUGCAUGCAGAUAAUUCUUUCCUAAAACUGAACGCUACAGUAAACAAGAUGAAGAAGCAGGUGGAUCUGAAGAUCUCAUCUGUUAAAGUCACAGACUCUGCUCUGUAUUAUUGUGCACUGACGCCCACAGUGACAGGAAACACAACAACACUGUACAAAAACCUCAGUGAUGAGACAAAACAUGAAAUUAAUAUCUGUCUGUUUAUCAAAACCUUAUAGGGUUUGGUAUUUGCAUUUGUUUCUAUGUCUUUGUUAUUGUUUUCUAUGUCUAUAUCAGUUUAAUGUCUUAUACAGUAAAUCUAGUCAUAGUGCAAAAGUGACAAAAGACCAUGACUUGUAAUGUAAAUAAUUAAACACAUUGCAUAGUUUAUUGAUUUGAAUAGAAAAGUACAAAAUAUAAUUUAAAUGGAUACUCUCACUUUUUAUAGCAUUUGUUAUUGAAUCAUUUGCAAAAUGAGUAAAAUAAAUGUAAAACUUGUCUUUAAAGAUGCAUACAAGAUAA